CUCCCUUCAAAAUCUAUGGUGCUGAUGACCGCCUGUGAGAGGUGAUAUCCUGUGAGAGGCUGGGAAGGGGAGUGUCCGUUUGAGCUGGAAGGCUGCCUGGAGGAGGUGUGGCUUGAACUGGGCUUGAGCAGUGGGAAGGAUUUGGAGAGCGGAGGAAUGAAGGAGAGCAGAGAGGAGAGGCUUGGAGAUCAUUCUCCUCUGGGUCUCUGCUCACAGACCUUCCAUCAAGAAAUUCACUACAGUGUGUUGGAACAGUCUAUGUACCUGACUACCACACAAGGGCUGUUGUAAGGAUCAAAUGGCAUCAUGAAUGGAGGGUACCAAGUCCUGCACCCAGCCUGCAGUGACUAGCACCUGCUCCCUGCUGAACAUGGUGGCUGGGGCUGGACAUGGUCCUUGGGGGUGUGAUCUGAGCAGCCUGCAGCAUUCUGGGCCUUUCAACUGCCGCAUCCUGGUACCAGUCUCAUGCUUCCUGGUACCCUACAGAUGGCUGUCUCCUGGUGGAGUCACCAGGUUGGAGGGGUCCUCAGAAUGCCAACAGAACAGAGCAGCCCUGAGCUCCGGCACCUGUCACUGUGGCUUGACUGGAUACAUAUCUCCAGACCAAGGUCUCUUCUCAGAUUUAUUUUUCUCUUUUUUCCCUCCCACUGGGGACAAAUAGCUUCCAUUCCUGAAGGGAAGUUGCCUGCUUGGAGAUGGACAGAGGAAGAUAUUUGGGUUCAGCUUAUCCCCUCUGGGCACUUUGGGGGAAGCAGCAUGGGUUGGGGCAGGAGAACUCUAAUGUGUAUGUGUUAAUAAACUUACUGUUUUCUAAAAUUUUGUCAAAGGUAUGCAUGUUUAUAGUUUAAAGAGGUGAAGAGUUCCAUGUGGCCUACUGUAUUUUUCCUUCCUUGUAUAACUUUUAUUUUCCUAGGAGCUAAUAACUAUCUUGUUCUUUUGUUUGCUUGCCUUUCUCUGUACUUAUCACUAAUUCAACUCCAGAGUCUUUACUGAUUGCCUAUUCCAAUAUUUUCACCCACAUCAGGUGCUCUAUCAAUUUCAUUGUCCUGAAGAGUUUCCCUGACAGCCUUCUGACCUGG
rnacentral:lncRNA from 1 species